UACGUAGGGUGCGAGCGUUAAUCGGAAUUACUGGGCGUAAAGCGUGCGCAGGCGGUGAUGUAAGACAGUUGUGAAAUCCCCGGGCUCAACCUGGGAACUGCAUCUGUGACUGCAUCGCUGGAGUGCGGCAGAGGGGGAUGGAAUUCCGCGUGUAGCAGUGAAAUGCGUAGAUAUGCGGAGGAACACCGAUGGCGAAGGCAAUUCCCCUGGGCCUGCACUGACGCUCAUGCACGAAAGCGUGGGGAGCAAACAGG
rnacentral:rRNA from 1 species